UGCCUCAGUACGGCGAGUGAAGCGGCAAAAGCUCAAAUUUGAAAUCCCCCCGGGGAGUUGUAAUUUGAAGAUUGCGUCUUGGAGGCGACCGUGUCUAUGUUCCUUGGAACAGGACGUCACAGAGGGUGAGAAUCCCGUGCGGCACGGCCCCCGGCUCCUUAUAAGGCGCUCUCGACGAGUCGAGUUGUUUGGGAAUGCAGCUCAAAGUGGGUGGUAAAUUCCAUCUAAAGCUAAAUACAGGCGAGAGACCGAUAGCGAACAAGUACAGUGAUGGAAAGAUGAAAAGCACUUUGAAAAGAGAGUGAAACAGCACGUGAAAUUGUUGAAAGGGAAGGGCAUGCCGUCAGAUUGUCAGUGUGGGUAAGAAGCGGGGUACAAAGACUGUGGAACGUGGCCCUCGGGUGUUAUAGCCGCAGUUCAUGCCCCGUCUCUUUCCGAGGCCUGCUUUGAGGACACCGACGUAAUGACGGUACGCCGCCCGUCUUG
rnacentral:rRNA from 1 species